AUGACCGAGUGCAGGUUUUUGACUUCGUCAUGUGCUCAUGCAGUCAAGCCAAUCCGUAAUUGACACGUAAGCAAUAGCUUCUUCCUUGUGAGGCGCUGCAAGAGAAGAACUGAGUCUUUGCACGAUUGUACGAAGACAUGCUUCGACGAGAAUAUGUGAAGACUAAACUGAAUCCAAAGAGACGAUGGUUUGCCACCAGGCCCACCACCAUCUUUAAAUGCUCUGCUUUGAUCGCUCUCAAUGCAGUGUUCUGGUUUCUUUUCAUAGUCGCACAACCAGUGACAGGGACAAAAAAAAUUGGAGACCAAAGUGCUUAGGAUAAUCUGAUAUCCUGACAAACUUAAUUGUAUAUAUGUCACAUGGUCUGUCGUAACUAGUAGCAGUAUUUCUCAGCAAACCUUCUUUUAUCCUAUACCUGACCAACCGGCAGAAAACCAAAUACCGAGUUGAUGCUUUGCAGUUUAUUUUGUGAGAUAAGCUAACUCCAAUGUACCCGCCUUGCUUGCUUGCGGCUCUAAUUCAUCUAUCACCAUUCU